CAGAAAAGCCUGGUGUGCGCUCCUCUCUUGUGUUCCCUUGCUGCAUUUUCUAGCAGUUUUUAGACGUAAAAGGGCUCAAAUAUUCUCAACUUUCCCUCGAUAUCGAACCUCAAUAUUCACAGCAAUAUUUGAAGCAGCCGUGUAGCGUCGAGUCCCGAUGUGAUCAGAACAUCAAACAUUUCAGAACAAUGAGGCAAAUAAAAUCAAAAAUCAUCUAAAGAAAAACAGGCAACAAUAAUAUGAAGGAAAACACCAAUGAGAGGAAAACAGAUGAUGUAAUCAAGAAGAGUGCUCACGCCUAUAAAAAAGUGUUUAUUAUGAAAUCGCAAAACACAUAUUUCUCUUCAAAGAGUCGGAGCUGACGUCUCUCAGAUCCCCAAACAGAUUCCUCUCAUUGAAGUGAAUGAGUCAGCGGGCACAUCUCAGUGUGAAAGGGGGCUUUUGUUGCCGGGCAGAAACACAACACGUCUCGAUCUGAGCCGCUCUUCAUGAGCACCGUGCUUCAUUUUCACUGCGUGGGAGGAAUCAGAGCGGCUGCCGUCACCAAACAACACUGUAGCUGCUGUCCGCGUCCGUCUCAUUCAGAUGUUUGGUCUCGUUCGGCGCCAGUUGGACACAUUUUUCGAGACAAGCGGCCUCUGUUUUACUGAGAAACCAUGCUAAUGUUCCUCUUCUGCCCCUUCUUGGUUUGGGUUGAUUGGCAGGUGUCCAUUGAAGCGCGGCUGAAAGAGUUUCCUGUCCUCACAAAGCCGGCGAGCCAGCAGGAAGACGUCGCAGUGCGGAUGCCUCUGUAAUAUGAGCGAGGACUUAAAGCUGUCAUUCAAAUCUCAGCGUGACCUUUAGGAGGGAGAAAAAAAAAAAAGGCUGUUUUUCACCCAGUUUGGAGGCAGACGGUGGAGGAAGUUUAAUGUGCGCGCAGCUUCUGUCUUUGUGAGAACCGACCUGAGCGAGUGCAACCAAAGCCGACGGACUGACAGCUGCAGCGAUCUGAUUCUCUUUGAGCCGGGAUGAAGCUGUAAUUUCAUCCACACGAGACAAUCAAACAUCGGGAUGUGGAUUUGAGUCGCGCUUGCCCACGAGCGAUCCCCGGCAGUCUGAAGGGUCGCCGGCGUC